AGCGGCGGUGCAGCUGGCAACCGAACCGUAUACAAGAGAUUGAUGCGGUUCGAAGGAAAGUCCGGACUCCGCGGAACACGGUGCCCAUUACAACAGUGGGGAAUACGGUUUCAAAGCCGUAUGACGGAAAGUGCCACAGAAAAUAGGUAGCCCUGCAAAGGGUCAUAGUGAAAAGGUGAGGUAAGAGCUCACCGCGCGGGCCGAGAGGGCCGCGGCACGGCAAACCCCGCCGGGAGCAAGGCCAAAUAGGGAGCAGUGCGGAUGAACGCGAGUUCAGCCGCCGGAAGCGUUCCGCUUCUUAAGCUACGGGUAGGCUGCGAAGAUUAAUUGUCAGCGCUUUUGGUGCAGUGAUGCGCUGUAAAGAGACAGAAUCCGGCUUACACCGUCCGCUGUCU
rnacentral:RNase_P_RNA from 1 species